UGCUCCAUUUGUUAGCUCUUGUCGAAAAGAUGGCAAUGGAGAAUUUUUACCUCAACAACUCUCUUCGACCGAUCUCUGUGUUCUGGUUUUAACGAGUUAAAAAAAAGAUUAUACUACUUUGAGUGCACAAUGAAGUAAAACAAAGCUCAACCAGGCCACGCAUCAAGCCUGCUGUACGCGUUUUCAUCGUAUUUUCAGAAACGUCAUCGCUCUUUUCUCCUCAGCCGGUGCAUCGUCAUCGUGUGCAACGAUGAUGUUGGUGCGUCAAGAAUCGGUAUAUGAUUGGCACAUUUAUGGAAAAGAGAGUAAUGGUAUGCUGGAACCAUAAUGGUGUUUCACUUUGUUCUAUUUUUAUACGGAUCGCUCAUAGGGACAGCGAUUUAAACUUAGUUAGGGUAUUAUUUGAUUGUUAA